GGAGGGAUCGCAUAGUCCGGCCUAGUGCGCGGCACUCGAAAUGCCGUGGGGCUUCGUGCCCCCGUGGGUUCGAAUCCCACUCCCUCCG
rnacentral:tRNA from 1 species